rnacentral:misc_RNA from 1 species
UGCAGGAGUGAGCCUGCUCGCGAUAGCGGUGUGUCAGUUGACAGAUUUUUGUCUGACCCACCGCUAUCGCGAGCAGGCUCACUCCUACA